rnacentral:rRNA from 1 species
CGUGUAGGCGGCUUGGUUAGUCGGGUGUGAAAGCCCGGGGCUCAACCCCGGGACGCCGCCCGAGACUGCCUGGCUUGAGGCCGGAAGAGGGGAGUGGAAUUCCUGGUGUAGCGGUGAAAUGCGUAGAGAUCAGGAGGAACACCCGUGGCGAAGGCGGCUCCCUGGUCCGGUUCUGACGCUGAGACGCGAAAGCGCGGGGAGCGAACG